AAUCCUCUUGCAACCCAGAACU
rnacentral:miRNA from 1 species